rnacentral:sRNA from 1 species
CAUUCGGUUAUUUUGAGGUUACGCAUG